rnacentral:rRNA from 1 species
UGGCGACCGGCGCACGGGUGAGUAACACGUAUCCAACCUGCCGAUGACUCGGGGAUAGCCUUUCGAAAGAAAGAUUAAUACCCGAUGGCAUAGUUCUUCCGCAUGGUAGAACUAUUAAAGAAUUUCGGUCAUCGAUGGGGAUGCGUUCCAUUAGGUUGUUGGCGGGGUAACGGCCCACCAAGGCAACGAUGGGUAGCCGGUCUGAGAGGAUGACCGGCCACACUGGAACUGGAACACGGUCCAG